GCUACGGGAGGCUGCAGUGGGGAAUAUUGGGCAAUGGGCGCAAGCCUGACCCAGCAACGCCGCGUGAAGGAAGAAGGCUUUCGGGUUGUAAACUUCUUUUCUCAGGGACGAAGCAAGUGACGGUACCUGAGGAAUAAGCCACGGCUAACUAGGUGCCAGCAGCCGCGGGAAUACGUAGGUGGCAAGCGUUAUCCGGAUUUACUGGGUGUAAAGGGCGUGUAGGCGGGAAAGCAAGUCAGAUGUGAAAACCAUGGGCUCAACCUGUGGCCUGCAUUUGAAACUGUUUUUCUUGAGUACUGGAGAGGCAAUCGGAAUUCCGUGUGUAGCGGUGAAAUGCGUAGAUAUACGGAGGAACACCAGUGGCGAAGGCGGAUUGCUGGACAGUAACUGACGCUGAGGCGCGAAAGCGUGGGGAGCAAACAGGAUUAGAUACCCGGGUAGUC
rnacentral:rRNA from 1 species